UCGUGUAACAGGCCAAGGAAAUAUUAUUCCCAGUUGUGCAUUGUGCUGCUAUCUUAUGGUGUCCAGACAAACCAGUGUAACAUUAGGAAAGCGCGCAUAUAUACCUUCUAUUGUUGAUGUAUACAUUGUUCUAUGGCGACUACAGUAGUGUUGUGGAAAUGGAUAGCUGAUAUUUGAAGAUCAUGGCAUCUAAGAAAUUAACUUCAGAAGAAGCAUUAGCCCUAUAUUUUUCUUUGCCUGAAAAUGCAAGUGAAUCUGAAGAAGAUGGUGACACUUCAGAUGAAGAUGAACAUGAACCUUUUGUUCCAGUAACAACUAGAAAUGAAGCACAACAAUCUCCAUCUUCUUCGAGUGUCUGUGACCCAGGAACUUCUACGCAUACGCCUCAAACAAGAGGUUUUGUCCAGCAACAACAAAAAAUAAA